AUUGAACGCUGGCGGCAUGCCUUACACAUGCAAGUCGAACGGUAACGCGGGGCAACCUGGCGACGAGUGGCGAACGGGUGAGUAAUGUACCGGAACGUGCCCAGUUGUGGGGGAUAACUGCUCGAAAGAGCAGCUAAUACCGCAUACGACCUGAGGGUGAAAGCGGGGGAUCGCAAGACCUCGCGCAAUUGGAGCGGCCGAUAUCAGAUUAGGUAGUUGGUGGGGGAAAGGCCCACCAAGCCAACGAUCUGUAGCUGGUCUGAGAGGACGACCAGCCACACUGGGACUGAGACACGGCCCAGACUCCUACGGGAGGCAGCAGUGGGGAAUUUUGGACAAUGGACGCAAGUCUGAUCCAGCCAUGCCGCGUGCGGGAAGAAGGCCUUCGGGUUGUAAACCGCUUUUGUCAGGGAAGAAACGCUCUGGGUUAAUACCUCGGGGUAAUGACGGUACCUGAAGAAUAAGCACCGGCUAACUACGUGCCAGCCGCCGCCGUAAAAC
rnacentral:rRNA from 1 species